GGCCAGACUCCUACGGGAGGCAGCAGUGAGGAAUAUUGGUCAAUGGGCGGAAGCCUGAACCAGCCAAGUCGCGUGAGGGACUAAGGCCCUGCGGGUCGUAAACCUCUUUUGCCGGGGAGCAGUGGUCCGGACGCGUCCGGACCGGGAGAGUACCCGGAGAAAAAGCAUCGGCUAACUCCGUGCCAGCAGCCGCGGUAAUACGGAGGAUGCGAGCGUUAUUCGGAUUUAUUGGGUUUAAAGGGUGCGUAGGCGGACUGGAAAGUCAGCGGUAAACUCGAGGGGCUCACCCUCUUUCCGCCGUUGAAACUGUCGGUCUUGAGUGGGCGAGAAGUAUGCGGAAUGCGUGGUGUAGCGGUGAAAUGCAUAGA
rnacentral:rRNA from 1 species